rnacentral:rRNA from 1 species
AUUGAACGCUGGCGGCAGGCCUAACACAUGCAAGUCGGACGGUAGCACAGAGAGCUUGCUCUCGGGUGACGAGUGGCGGACGGGUGAGUAAUGUCUGGGGAUCUGCCCGAUAGAGGGGGAUAACCACUGGAAACGGUGGCUAAUACCGCAUAACGUCGCAAGACCAAAGAGGGGGACCUUCGGGCCUCUCACUAUCGGAUGAACCCAGAUGGGAUUAGCUAGUAGGCGGGGUAACGGCCCACCUAGGCGACGAUCCCUAGCUGGUCUGAGAGGAUGACCAGCCACACUGGAACUGAGACACGGUCCAGACUCCUACGGGAGGCAGCAGUGGGGAAUAUUGCACAAUGGGCGCAAGCCUGAUGCAGCCAUGCCGCGUGUAUGAAGAAGGCCUUCGGGUUGUAAAGUACUUUCAGCGGGGAGGAAGGCGAUAAGGUUAAUAACCUUGUCGAUUGACGUUACCCGCAGAAGAAGCACCGGCUAACUCCGUGCCAGCCGCCGCAGUAA